AUUGAACGCUGGCGGCAUGCCUUACACAUGCAAGUCGAACGGUAACAGGUUAAGCUGACGAGUGGCGAACGGGUGAGUAAUGCAUCGGAACGUGCCCGGUCGUGGGGGAUAACGCAGCGAAAGCUGCGCUAAUACCGCAUACGAUCUGAGGAUGAAAGCGGGGGACCGUAAGGCCUCGCGCGAUCGGAGCGGCCGAUGUCAGAUUAGGUAGUUGGUGGGGUAAAGGCUCACCAAGCCAACGAUCUGUAGCUGGUCUGAGAGGACGACCAGCCACACUGGGACUGAGACACGGCCCAGACUCCUACGGGAGGCAGCAGUGGGGAAUUUUGGACAAUGGGCGAAAGCCUGAUCCAGCAAUGCCGCGUGCAGGAAGAAGGCCUUCGGGUUGUAGACUGCUUUUGUACGGAGCGAAAAGGUCUCCUCUAAUACAGGGGGCUCAUGACGGUACCGUAAGAAUAAGCACCGGCUAACUACGUGCCAGCCGCCGCAGUAA
rnacentral:rRNA from 1 species